rnacentral:rRNA from 1 species
GCUACACAUGCAGUCGAGCGGUAACAGAAAGUAGCUUGCUACUUUGCUGACGAGCGGCGGACGGGUGAGUAAUGCUUGGGAACAUGCCUUGAGGUGGGGGACAACAGUUGGAAACGACUGCUAAUACCGCAUAAUGUCUACGGACCAAAGGGGGCUUCGGCUCUCGCCUUUAGAUUGGCCCAAGUGGGAUUAGCUAGUUGGUGAGGUAAUGGCUCACCAAGGCAACGAUCCCUAGCUGGUUUGAGAGGAUGAUCAGCCACACUGGAACUGAGACACGGUCCAGACUCMUACGGGAGGCAGCAGUGGGGAAUAUUGCACAAUGGGCGCAAGCCUGAUGCAGCCAUGCCGCGUGUGUGAAGAAGGCCUUCGGGUUGUAAAGCACUUUCAGUCAGGAGGAAAGGUUAGUAGUUAAUACCUGCUAGCUGUGACGUUACUGACAGAAGAAGCACCGGCUAACUCCGUGCCAGCAGCCGCGGUAAUACGGAGGGUGCGAGCGUUAAUCGGAAUUACUGGGCGUAAAGCGUACGCAGGCGGUUUGUUAAGCGAGAUGUGAAAGCCCCGGGCUCAACCUGGGAACUGCAUUUCGAACUGGCAAACUAGAGUGUGAUAGAGGGUGGUAGAAUUUCAGGUGUAGCGGUGAAAUGCGUAGAGAUCUGAAGGAAUACCGAUGGCGAAGGCAGCCACCUGGGUCAACACUGACGCUCAUGUAC